ensembl:lncRNA
CUAUGCUAUUGAUUGGCUGGUUAAAUAGAGGCCUAUUAGAUUCAGACAGGCUAGAUUGAUUAUACAGCAGCAGAAGGAGCUCAGACUCACAGCUGAGAGAACGUCAGGGUGAGAGAGAGCACAAGCAAGGGAGACUGUACAUACUGUAGCAUCAGUAUGUGACUGCUGGUGUCUGACAACACCGGUAUCUUGCUCUUGAAGUGGACAACUUGCUGAGCUACCUUUUAGCAUUUGCAAGAGGAUACCAGCUCUUAACCAGUACAACUGAUAACAGACUGGACCUUGGAAUAGUUAAUUUUACUUAUAAUUGCAUCUCUUAUUGCUAUGCAUCUCUGAAGAAGCAGCUUAUUACAGAAGACAAUUCAUCCUGUCCCUGUAGUUCACAUAGCACUGAUAAGACGGAGUUUCAUCUUCCAGACUCUUCACUUGGGAUCUGAUUGCACUGGGAAUUUAUCCUGGGAAGUUGAAGCCAGCAUCUUCAACAGAUUGAUCCCACCACUCUCCCCUCCAAUGAAGUGUCCAAAGAACCACAUAGAUCUUGAGAGUGUUUGUACAAAGCACAGUGAAGUUGAACUUGAACUCUCAUGUCCAUUUUCUCCCUUCUACUUCUGUUUCUGGUAAGUUGCACAAAAUUUGUAUUUAGCUGAGUCAAUUUUAUUUCACUCUGGAAGAAAUGUUUACAGUGACCAUAUUGGCUUUAUUAGCAUUGUCUGUAAGGUGAUAUUAAAAAUCUGCAAUGUGUGGAAGUAGUAAAUGAGGAGUUGUCAAGUUUGACAUUUUUUAUUUCCCUAAAGCUAUUCAAUAUCAUAAAAAAAUGUUUAGAUUCUAGAUAGAUGUUCUUAAACUAUUAAUGUGCAUUUUCAAAGAUAUUCUAAGAGACCAUUUAAUCUUGUAAAAAUUUGCAUGAAGAUGUUUAAGUGCACAUUUGCACAAGGUUACCAGUAGCUUACAAUAUAUUUUAG